CUUCGACAACCAGAGUUUGAUCCUGGCUCAGGACGAACGCUGGCGGCGUGCCUAAUACAUGCAAGUCGAGCGGACAGAUGGGAGCUUGCUCCCUGAUGUUAGCGGCGGACGGGUGAGUAACACGUGGGUAACCUGCCUGUAAGACUGGGAUAACUCCGGGAAACCGGGGCUAAUACCGGAUGGUUGUUUGAACCGCAUGGUUCAAACAUAAAAGGUGGCUUCGGCUACCACUUACAGAUGGACCCGCGGCGCAUUAGCUAGUUGGUGAGGUAACGGCUCACCAAGGCGACGAUGCGUAGCCGACCUGAGAGGGUGAUCGGCCACACUGGGACUGAGACACGGCCCAGACUCCUACGGGAGGCAGCAGUAGGGAAUCUUCCGCAAUGGACGAAAGUCUGACGGAGCAACGCCGCGUGAGUGAUGAAGGUUUUCGGAUCGUAAAGCUCUGUUGUUAGGGAAGAACAAGUACCGUUCGAAUAGGGCGGUACCUUGACGGUACCUAACCAGAAAGCCACGGCUAACUACGUGCCAGCAGCCGCGGUAAUACGUAGGUGGCAAGCGUUGUCCGGAAUUAUUGGGCGUAAAGGGCUCGCAGGCGGUUUCUUAAGUCUGAUGUGAAAGCCCCCGGCUCAACCGGGGAGGGUCAUUGGAAACUGGGGAACUUGAGUGCAGAAGAGGAGAGUGGAAUUCCACGUGUAGCGGUGAAAUGCGUAGAGAUGUGGAGGAACACCAGUGGCGAAGGCGACUCUCUGGUCUGUAACUGACGCUGAGGAGCGAAAGCGUGGGGAGCGAACAGGAUUAGAUACCCUGGUAGUCCACGCCGUAAACGAUGAGUGCUAAGUGUUAGGGGGUUUCCGCCCCUUAGUGCUGCAGCUAACGCAUUAAGCACUCCGCCUGGGGAGUACGGUCGCAAGACUGAAACUCAAAGGAAUUGACGGGGGCCCGCACAAGCGGUGGAGCAUGUGGUUUAAUUCGAAGCAACGCGAAGAACCUUACCAGGUCUUGACAUCCUCUGACAAUCCUAGAGAUAGGACGUCCCCUUCGGGGGCAGAGUGACAGGUGGUGCAUGGUUGUCGUCAGCUCGUGUCGUGAGAUGUUGGGUUAAGUCCCGCAACGAGCGCAACCCUUGAUCUUAGUUGCCAGCAUUCAGUUGGGCACUCUAAGGUGACUGCCGGUGACAAACCGGAGGAAGGUGGGGAUGACGUCAAAUCAUCAUGCCCCUUAUGACCUGGGCUACACACGUGCUACAAUGGACAGAACAAAGGGCAGCGAAACCGCCGCGGUGAAUACGUUCCCGGGCCUUGUACACACCGCCCGUCACACCACGAGAGUUUGUAACACCCGAAGUCGGUGAGGUAACCUUUUAGGAGCCAGCCGCCGAAGGUGGGACAGAUGAUUGGGGUGAAGUCGUAACAAGGUAGCCGUAUCGAGGUUAAGCCAAUCCCACAAAUCUGUUCUCAGUUCGGAUCGCAGUCUGCAACUCGACUGCGUGAAGCUGGAAUCGCUAGUAAUCGCGGAUCAGCAUGC
rnacentral:rRNA from 1 species